rnacentral:rRNA from 1 species
GUCUUUUUGAUUAAUAAUUUAAAGUCUGAUCUGCCCACUGAAUUAUUUUAAAGGGCUGCAGUAUUUUGACUGUGCAAAGGUAGCAUAAUAAAUAGUCUUUUAAUUGAAGACUGGAAUGAAUGAUUGGACGAAAUAAAAACUGUCUCAAAUUAAUUAUAUAGAAUUUAAUUUUUAAGUUAAAAAGCUUAAAUUUUUAUAAAAGACGAGAAGACCCUAUAGAUCUUUAUAUUUAUUUAUAUUAAUAAAUAUAAAUAAUUAUUUAAUUGGGGUGAUUUAAAAAUUAAGAAAACUUUUUAUUUUAAUAAACAAAAAUUUUUGAUUAAUUGAUCCUAUAUUAUAGAUUAAUAGAUUAAGUUACCUUAGGGAUAACAGCGUAAUUUAAUUUUUAAGUUCUUAUUGAAAAUUAAGAUUGCGACCUCGAUGUUGGAUUAAAAUUAAUUUUGGGUGCAGAAAUUCAAAAUUUAAGUCUGUUCGACUUAUAGUUUUUU